CCUACGGGAGGCAGCAGUAAGGGAUAUUGCGCAAUGGGCGAAAGCCUGACGCAGUAACGCCGCGUGCGGGAAGAAGGCCUUCGGGUCGUAAACCGCUUUUCGGAGGGACGAGGAAGGACGGUACCUCUGGAAUAAGUCUCGGCUAACUACGUGCCAGCAGCCGCGGUAAGACGUAGGAGGCGAGCGUUAUCCGGAUUCACUGGGCGUAAAGCGCGUGUAGGCGGAAAUUUAAGCGUGGCCUGAAAGCCCCCGGCUCAACCGGGGAGUGCGGCUGUGAACUGGGUUUCUUGAGGACGAUAGAGGAGGGUGGAAUUCCUGGUGUAGCGGUGAAAUGCGUAGAUAUCAGGAGGAACACCCGAGGCGAAGGCGGCUCUCUGGGUCGUACCUGACGCUGAGGCGCGAAAGCGUGGGGAGCGAACGGGAUUAGAUACCCCGGUAGUCCACGCCGUAAACGAUGGUCACUAGGUGUGUGUGGUAUCGACCCCGCACGUGCCGCAGCUAACGCAAUAAGUGACCCGCCUGGGGAGUACGGCCGCAAGGUUGAAACUCAAAGGAAUUGACGG
rnacentral:rRNA from 1 species